AGAGUUUGAUCCUGGCUCAGAUUGAACGCUGGCGGCAUGCCUUACACAUGCAAGUCGAACGGCAGCGCGGGGCAACCUGGCGGCGAGUGGCGAACGGGUGAGUAAUAUAUCGGAACGUACCCUGGAGUGGGGGAUAACGUAGCGAAAGUUACGCUAAUACCGCAUACGAUCUAAGGAUGAAAGUGGGGGAUCGCAAGACCUCAUGCUCCUGGAGCGGCCGAUAUCUGAUUAGCUAGUUGGCGGGGUAAAAGCCCACCAAGGCAACGAUCAGUAGCUGGUCUGAGAGGACGACCAGCCACACUGGAACUGAGACACGGUCCAGACUCCUACGGGAGGCAGCAGUGGGGAAUUUUGGACAAUGGGCGUAAGCCUGAUCCAGCAAUGCCGCGUGAGUGAAGAAGGCCUUCGGGUU
rnacentral:rRNA from 1 species